rnacentral:piRNA from 1 species
UGAAUGGAUUAAAGAAAAUUCCUUAGUGUC